rnacentral:lncRNA from 1 species
UUUUUGUCUCUAAUUUUAAUUGUAAAUAAUCAGUUUUCAGACAUUUUGCUGAAUGGCCUACUAUAGUUGCUGCAAAUUAUAAAUGGUUGGGUUGAUUAUACCCUUAAAUAUGAUUAAACUCAUUCUACAUACCUUUAUUAUGUGCAGGGAGGACUUGCCCUUGUUCAGUUCUUGGAAUGAGUUAAUUUUAUUCAGCCUUGCUACCGAAUUUCAAAGUUUUAAUGUCGACUGCUACUUUAUCACUGACAACUAUAUCAUGAACUUUACAGAUUAGGGGAUUAAGAUCAAAGAUUGGCAGCAAUAAAGGGCCUGCUCUAUUGUAUCGAAAUGUUCUGUUUCACCUAGUAAAGUUGUUGGAUUGCUAGUGACAUAUAUGCUUAUAUCCAGGUAUCCGUUCUUGCUAAACUCAUUCACGGUAAAAAUAGCAUAUAUUAUUUCGUUGGUGUUUUUAUCCAUAGUACAAGCUGUAGCUUUUACGAUAUAAUGCAAGCGCAAGUUCUUGAAUUGCAGCUCACUGGUUUCUCUUAUUUUGUAGGUUAGGUUAGCAUCGUAAUUGUGGAUUAGCAUUGUAAUUGUGGGUUGCAACAUUCUUCGCCGAUAUAUCAGAAAAAACUACAGCGGAAGCCUGACAAGUACCUAAGCCAUGGAAUAGAUGAUUGGAAAAAUGUAAAUUAACUUUAUGUUGUAGAUAUAUACAAUUUUAAACCAGUGGAUAAAUAACAAGUUUGAUUAUUUAGUAAUAUAAAGAAUUUCAAAUUUGAUGUAAUUACUGAUAGGUUUUGUGAAUGAAAUUGGGAUUAUGUGUUCUUAAUAUAUAGAAUUCGUG